UACAGAGGGGGCAAGCGUUAUUCGGAAUUAUUGGGCGUAAAGGGCGCGUAGGCGGCCAUUCAAGUGACGGGUGAAAGCCCUCGGCUUAACCGAGGAACUGCCUGUCAGACUGGAUGGCUUGAGACCGGGAGAGGUGAGUGGAAUUCCCAGUGUAGCGGUGAAAUGCGUAGAUAUUGGGAGAAACACCAGUGGCGAAGGCGGCUCACUGGACCGGAACUGACGCUGAGGCGCGAAAGCGUGGGGAGCAAACAGG
rnacentral:rRNA from 1 species